rnacentral:rRNA from 1 species
GAUGAACGCUGGCGGCGUGCCUAAUACAUGCGAGUCGAGCGAACAGACGAGGAGCUUGCUCCUCUGACGUUAGCGGCGGACGGGUGAGUAACACGUGGAUAACCUACCUAUAAGACUGGGAUAACUUCGGGAAACCGGAGCUAAUACCGGAUAAUAUAUUGAACCGCAUGGUUCAAUAGUGAAAGACGGUUUUGCUGUCACUUAUAGAUGGAUCCGCGCCGCAUUAGCUAGUUGGUAAGGUAACGGCUUACCAAGGCAACGAUGCGUAGCCGACCUGAGAGGGUGAUCGGCCACACGGGAACUGAGAAACGGUCCAGACUCCUACGGGAGGCAGCAGUAGGGAAUCUUCCGCAAUGGGCGAAAGCCUGACGGAGAAACGCCGCGUGAGUGAUGAAGGUCUUCGGAUCGUAAAACUCUGUUAUUAGGGAAGAACAAAUGUGUAAGUAACUAUGCACGUAUUGACGGUACCUAAGCAGAAAGCCACGGCUAACUACGU